UAGGGAAUCUUCCGCAAUGGGCGAAAGCUUGACGGAGCAACGCCGCGUGAGUGAUGAAGGUCUUCGGAUCGUAAAACUCUGUUAUUAGGGAAGAACAAAUGUGUAAGUAACUAUGCACGUCUUGACGGUACCUAAUCAGAAAGCCACGGCUAACUACGUGCCAGCAGCCGCGGUAAUACGUAGGUGGCAAGCGUUAUCCGGAAUUAUUUGGCGUAAAGCGCGAGUAGGCGGUUUUUUAAGUCUGAUGUGAAAGCCCACGGCUCAACCGUGGAGGGUCAUUGGAAACUGGAAGACUUGAGUGCAGAAGAGGAAAGUGGAAUUCCAUGUGUAGCGGUGAAAUGCGCAGAGAUAUGGAGGAACACCAGUGGCGAAGGCGACUUUCUGGUCUGUAACUGACGCUGAUGUGCGAAAGCGUGGGGAUCAAACAGG
rnacentral:rRNA from 1 species